rnacentral:rRNA from 1 species
UGGGGAAUAUUGGACAAUGGGGGCAACCCUGAUCCAGCCAUGCCGCGUGCGUGAAGAAGGCCUUAGGGUUGUAAAGCGCUUUCAGCGGGGAAGAUAAUGACGGUACCCGCAGAAGAAGCCCCGGCUAACUCCGUGCCAGCAGCCGCGGUAAGACGGAGGGGGCUAGCGUUGUUCGGAAUUACUGGGCGUAAAGCGCGCGUAGGCGGUUUGCCAAGUUGAGGGUGAAAUCCCGGGGCUCAACCCCGGAACUGCCUUCAAAACUGGCCGACUUGAGUCCGGAAGAGGAGAGUGGAAUUCCCAGUGUAGAGGUGAAAUUCGUAGAUAUUGGGAAGAACACCGGUGGCGAAGGCGCUCUACUGGGCCGAGACUGACGCUGAUGGACGAAAGCUAGGGGAGCGAAAGGGAUUAGAUACCCCGGUAGUCC